AUGGUGUCGGGCGGGUGCGUGGGGACGGAAGGGGGCGCGGAGCCGGAGGAGUCCGCGGCGGCGGCGGCGGUAGCGGCCGAGGAGGUGGUGGCGGCGACGGCGCCCGCGCGCGCCAGGGAGCUGGUGGUCGGGUACGCGCUCACGUCCAAGAAGGCCAAGAGCUUCCUCCAGCCCAAGCUCCGGGGGCUCGCCAGGAAGAAAGGCAUUCAAUUUGUUGCAAUUGAUCAAAAGCUUCCACUGUCAGAUCAAGGCCCUUUUGAUGUUAUUCUGCAUAAGUUGACUGGAAAGGAGUGGCAACGACGGUUGGAGGAAUAUAGAGAGACACACCCAGAAGUUACUGUUCUUGACCCACCAGGUGCCAUAGAACAUUUGCUGAACCGCCAAUCUAUGCUUCAAGAAGUUUCUAAACUGGACCUUGCGGAUUGUCAUGGUAAAGUUGGUGUUCCGAAGCAGCUCUUUGUUAACACAGACCCACUGUCAAUACCAGCUGCGGUUAUGAGGGCUGGGCUAUCGCUUCCUCUAGUGGCGAAGCCUCUGGUGGCGAAGUCUCAUGAGUUGUCUCUUGCUUAUGACGCAGCUUCCUUGACGAAGCUUGAGCCUCCGUUGGUUCUUCAGGAAUUUGUUAACCAUGGCGGUGUCUUAUUUAAGGUCUACAUUGUUGGAGAUGCAAUUAGGGUAGUGCGUAGGUUUUCACUGCCUAACGUGGAUGAGGGUGAUCUAUCAAACGCCGGAGUGUUCCGGUUUCCGAGGGUCUCUUGUGCUGCAGCCACUGCGGAGGAUGCAGAUCUUGACCCCCAUGUUGCUGAACUUCCUCCAAGGCCACUGCUUGAGAUAUUGGCAAGAGAGCUGCGGCGCCGACUGGGUCUUAGACUGUUCAACAUAGAUAUGAUCAGAGAGCAUGGGACAAGGGAUCGGUUUUAUGUUAUAGACAUGAACUAUUUUCCUGGGUAUGGUAAGAUGCCUGGAUACGAGCAUGUUUUCACCGACUUCCUGCUGAGCCUAGACCAGCAGAAGGAGUUCAAGCGACGACCGGGCUAUACCUCGGGCGAGGGGUGA
rnacentral:rRNA from 1 species